rnacentral:rRNA from 1 species
CCAGCCGUAAACGAUGGGCACUAGGUGUAGGAGGUAUCGACCCCUUCUGUGCCGUAGCUAACGCAAUAAGUGCCCCGCCUGGGGAGUACGGUCGCAAGACUGAAACUCAAAGGAAUUGACGGGGGCCCGCACAAGCGGUGGAGCAUGUGGUUUAAUUCGACGCAACGCGAAGAACCUUACCAGGGCUUGACAUCCCUUGCUAUCCUUGGAAACAAGGAGUUCCCUUCGGGGACAAGGAGACAGGUGG